AUGGUUCUUGCCUCCCUCUCUCCUCCCUCCUUGGAGCUCGUCCAUUCGUUGGGUGAUCCCUUGCUCUCACGUUCGAGUGUUUGCUCGUCGUUUAGGCCGGUGAGUUACAUUUUUGCUCAUUGCAGUCGCCUCCGGGGUUCUUCGCACCUGGGUAGUACCAGGACCCUUGUGCCCCGGACUGCACUGCCCGCCCUAUGA
rnacentral:rRNA from 1 species